CGUGCAGGCGGGUCGACAAGUCCUGUGUGUAAUCUCCCGGCUCAACCGGGAAACUGCACGGGAAACUAUCGAUCUUGAGUGCGAGAGAGGAUGGCGGAAUUCCUGGUGUAGCGGUGAAAUGCGUAGAUAUCAGGAGGAACACCGGUGGCGAAGGCGGCCAUCUGGCUCGACACUGACGCUGAGACGCGAAGGCCGGGGGAGCAAACA
rnacentral:rRNA from 1 species